UUACCGCCGUUGCCUCGGCGGGCCGCGUUCGCCCUGUAGUUUACUACCUGGCGGCGCGCUACAGGCCCGCCGGUGGACUGCUAAACUCUGUUAUAUAUACGUAUCUCUGAAUGCUUCAACUUAAUAAGUUAAAACUUUCAACAACGGAUCUCUUGGUUCUGGCAUCGAUGAAGAACGCAGCGAAAUGCGAUAAGUAAUGUGAAUUGCAGAAUUCAGUGAAUCAUCGAAUCUUUGAACGCACAUUGCGCCCAUUAGUAUUCUAGUGGGCAUGCCUGUUCGAGCGUCAUUUCAACCCUUAAGCCCCUGUUGCUUAGCGUUGGGAAUCUAGGUCUCCAGGGCCUAGUUCCCCAAAGUCAUCGGCGGAGUCGGAGCGUACUCUCAGCGUAGUAAUACCAUUCUCGCUUUUGCAGUAGCCCCGGCGCCUUGCCGUAAAACCCCUAUAUCUUUAGUGGUUGACCUCGAAUCAGGUAGGAAUACCCGCUGAACUUAAGCAUAUC
rnacentral:rRNA from 1 species